GCUGCAUAGUGAUCAAAGGCUGCCGGGAAUUGAAGGGAAUUGAAGCACUUUUUGCUAAUUUGUUACGUUCAAUAGCUUGCAGCCACAUAACAUUAGAUUAGCUAAAAUCUAUUGCAUCUUAAUUGAUUCAGUUGAAGGGAAUUGAAGUCCCGUUGUGUGUUUAUUGGCUAAUGCAAUUUGAAUUUAUGGUUAGUUAAGCAUGAACCUUACUAGCUGCCUUGCUUAUUCCUCAUCACUGCCGGUUUUCUUUUUUUUUUUGUAUUAUUUUAUUUUUCUUUUCUUUUAUUCACCAAAUUUAUGUUUCCUUGCCUUAGUUGGAAUGUGGUAGGUCUUAUUCCUUUUGUCUAAUGUGUUCGUUUUGUUAAUUUAAUUGCGAUGUUGGCUUAGGUUAGUUGGUUGGCCAUUAACGUUAUUGCAUUUCUUCUUUGAGAUUUCUGGACUGUAUGUUGAUUGCCACUCUGACUUGGUUAAUAUCAAAUUUGUAUUUGCACUUGCAAUUGGGUAUACACUUAGUUGCCCAGUUGGUGUUGAGUCUUCUCUUAGUUGAUGAAACAACAUGGUGUAAAUUGGAUUUGAUGUUAACAUUACGUUCUGUCAACACCCAAUUUCGUCCGGGUGAUUAAAUAAUAGGAUAUGUUUUUACUUUUAUUUUUAUUUUUCUUUUAUUUUUAAUUUUUAUUUCACUAUUUUGUAUUUGACUAAUUUGUAUUUCGUCCCAUCAUCUCCAAAACGCCAUUCAUCCCCAUUAACCAUUGAGAGCCAUCCACCAAAGCAUCUUUUACUCCAUAAUUACCUCAACCCUUUUUUCACCAUUACCUGGUCUCCAUUCUUUCCUAGUCUCAAUCAUCACCCAUGACAAAACAUCCCACAACCGAACUCAUCCUCUCAACCAUCACAUACGACCACAUACUCCUUCAUCUUCAGAAAUUCAACUAAAACAGAGAACCAAAACAAAACAGAGAGAACUAAUCACACAUAGAAUCACUGACCACGCCUCAUUGCUGGAACCACCCCAUUAGAACCUCCACCCCAACUCACGUAUCACACCACCAUCCUCAAUCCGCACUGCACAAAGCCCCAGAAACAAAAUCCAAUCACCAAGAACAAAGACCAAUUUCCAGCACCCAACACACACUCAUCAUUCCCAACCUCAGUACACAAAACACCAAACAAUAGAAAACUAAUCAAUAAUCGGCAUUCAGAAAACACUUUCAUCCUCGACACCGACGGUGGGUGUCGCUAGGGCAUUUGGCUUUUGAGAGAGGAGUAGAGAGCCCUCUAGUGGAGAGGAAGAAAAGCGACGCUGGUGGCACCGGUGAAGACAAUGACUCUAGCAAGGCUCACGACGACCAGUUUCAGUGGAGGCAACGGGAACGGCGAGACCUCGAAGUGGGGUCCGGUUCGCGUGAAGAAGAAAGGACGAGAUGGCGGUCCGGCGUGAAAGGCGGUGGCUCUUCCGAGGAAUGCAUCGGCGACACCAUGGACAGCCCCCUCACAGCGCCUUUUUUAUCGGAGAUUGUGGCGGUAGUGGUUGCAGGAGUAGUAGAGGUGAGUGCCUUGGGGUUUCUAUUUCUCUGCAGAGAAGGAGAGACCCUAGGUCUCAGGAGUUUGAGCGAGAACGGGAGGAAAGGGCAGAACCCCUAGUGUUUCAGCUGGGAAGAAGGCCUUGGGCCUAAGUUUGGACCGUUUCCACCUCUGCACACCCAUUUUCCAUUCACGCACCCCCAAGAACUUUUUUUCUUUUUUCUAAUUGACUUGUUGUCAGGCUUAACUACUUCCUUAGGGCGGCCCAUUACGGUUCUGCAAGCAAAUUUUUCACGCACCCCUAUUUCUUCUAAGUUUCUCACCCACUUGCUUGUUAUUUAGUUUUCUUUAGUUUAUCAUUUAACUUUUCAUUUUUUUUUUUACUUUUUAUUUUUAUUUAGUAAUUUACUUAUAUAUUUUAUUUUUAUUUAUUUUUUUUAUUUUAUUUAAUUUUUACCUUUCUGCUUUUAAAUGAAUAUUAAAAACAACAAAAAUAUUUUAAAGGGUCCAACGCAUGUGUGAUCGCACGCUUCGUCCUUGUGUUGGACACCUUUUCUUCUUUUAUAAAAAAU
rnacentral:lncRNA from 1 species